rnacentral:tRNA from 1 species
CAAUUAGUAUCUUAAAUAAAGAAUUGAUUUUUUAAAUCAAAUUAUAAUAAUUUAAAUUUAUUCUGAUUGA